AGAUUGAACGCUGGCGGCAUGCUUUACACAUGCAAGUCGAACGGGCAGCACGGGGGCAACCCUGGUGGCGAGUGGCGAAACGGGUGAGUAAUGCAUCGGAACGUAUCCUUGAGUGGGGGAUAACGCAGCGAAAGUUGUUGCUAAAUACCGCGAUAAAGCGUCUGAGGAGGAAAGCGGGGGACCGAAAGGCCUCGCGCUGAAGGAGCGGCCGAUGUCCGGAUUAGCUAGUUGGUGAGGUAAAGGCUUACCAAGGCGACGAUCGGUAGCUUGGGUCUGGAGAGGAUGAUCAGCCACACUGGGACUGAGACACGGCCCAGACUCCUACGGUAGGCAGC
rnacentral:rRNA from 1 species